ACAAUGGAACAGUCCCAGCAAGUCUCGACACUGCGAAAAACAGAGCAGAACCCACUUGACCAAUCGAAUUUUCGGUUGAUAAAAAUUAAAUUUAAGCUAACAAUGCAUUCAAGUGGAAAGUAGAAAUCCAAUUUCGAGGGUGAACGAACUUAGUAUGAUGUUCAAAAACUGACUGAUGAUGCCUCAUUUUUUAGUGCAAGCGAUUAAAAGUUGAAGCCUCUGGGGAAAAAAAUGGAGGAGUGCAUCCAUUCACAAGCAACGGAGAAAUGAAAGAACAAUACUUGUACAAAUUCAAGUCUUCAUUCCUCUGAUGAGAUAAGAUUAACCAAGUGGCUCAACCAAUAAAGUGUUCUACGAUUAAGGGCUGGAAUCCAAAUUUAUGUGACUAUGGAAUUGUACUGUUCAAACAAUUGUGAUUCGAAGGCCUGAAAUCAGCAAAACUUAAGACCAGUGGAUUGGAAAUGGCUUAAUAGACAAUUGGCUAAUGUGAAUUCAUAACCUCUACCUCUGUACGUACUGGAUGAAACAAUUGUGUAAAGGGCACUUAAACUAAUCCCACAAACACUUGCUAUAACUAGGAAGAGACAAUGGCUUCAAUGGUCUCAUCUUCUGCUGUUGCAUCCAUUAGCGGUGCCACACCGGCUCAGGUUACAAUGGUUGCACCGUUCACUGGCUUGUUCAUUACUAUUAAUUGCAUUGUUCUUUAUUUGGAUCAUAAAUAUAUUAAGAAUUUCCAUUAGCCACCGCAUCAUUAACAAGAUUAUGUACAUAAUUGCAACCAUUACUUAUACUAAUUAAGAUAAGAGCUGAGAUACUGUUGAUGUUUGUGAAAAUGCAGCAUGGAUUUUUUUACUGAGAGAACCACAGAUCCCCUGGGUACUACGAUAGCGGUUACUGGACCAUGUAGGAAGCUCCUCUUGUUUGGCUGCAGAGAUUCACUACAAGUUCUUAAGGAUCUAGAGGAGGCCACGAAGGCUUAUCCUAAUUCAUUAUUGCAUUUGACAACAAACGCUAAUUGCAGCGCAGCAAUUUCAUCGCCUACAAACCUUCUGGUUUCUAAACUUUCAGAGCCUGAGGCUUUUCCCUUUUUUUUCUUUCUUUCUUGGCUUCUAUUUUUUGUUUCUGAAAUUCCUUUUUUUUUUUCAUCUUCUAGAUUUUUCUCUGAUCUGCAAUUGAAUUGUCAAUAAAAUUUGUGGCUUGCAGGAGCCUAAUAACAACAAUUCAUCCCUAGAAUAAAUUUGUUAAUUUACUGAUCUCUGAUUAAGCAAGUCAAUUCCAAUCUAUAUAUGAAAACAAAAUUAAGAAGAACAACCAUGGACACUCAAGUAUCAUCAAUAAAUUCUUCAAGUAAUUAGAACAAAUUAAAGUUCCCAUCUCUCAUGGAUUUUGUACCUGGUUGAUGCUUCUCAGGUUCCACAGAUCAUAAUCCCAGACAACAUCACUAAACAUUUCACUACAGGCCUCACCCAUAUACUCCACAUCCCAAAAAGGCAACCAGAUGGAACCCCAUGACAUUUGCUCAUCCACAAUCCCUCUUAACCAUGGCAACUCAUCCCGAUUUAGAUAAUUGUCCACCAUUCCCGAACUUGACUCGCCGCCAAUAUUCUUACUUUGCUCUUGCACCUUCUCAACAGACCUCUUGCCCUUGAUCUUUUUCGCCAUUGCCAUCCUUGUUCUUGUCGUUGCUGCUUUACCAUCAGCCAUAUUUGUAGCUUUCAUAUUUUCAGCAUCCACAUUUCUUUGCCUCUUCAUGAUGAUUUUCUUGAAGAGAAAUAUUACAGAUGUCUUCAAGAAUUAUGGGUAUGGUUUUGGUUUUUCAAGCUAAGCUACAUGUAGCUUAUAAGAAGAAAGAGGAGUUGUGCAAGGGGAGCGCAGAAGAAAAGUUUGAUGGCGCUUAGGAGGGUGAGAUUGCAGUUGCAUGGCUCCCUGGUGAUGAUGACUGUCACAUGCCCUUGUAGCAGACAUUGACAUAUGCCACUGACGUACACCAAUUAGCUGCUACAUAUGUGCGCUUUAGUUCAAUGAAUUAUCAGUGAGACGAAGAAGAGGCAGGUUGGUUAAGACUGAGAUCUUGAAAGUCCAAUGACAUGCUGCCAUGUCGUGGGAAAGAAGAUGGGCUUUCUUCAUUUUUGGAGUGGUGUGAAAUUAAAUGGGAAUUUCAAGCAACAGAUAUUUAUAUAAAUAUAAAUUGGAUAUGGAUCGUCAGCAGUGGUUGGUUCCAAGGAGAGACGUAAGGGCAGAGUCAAGUAGUGGCAGCUGUGGAUGAAGAGGCAGGAGGCCAACUGUGAAUGGUGAUGCCUGAAG
rnacentral:misc_RNA from 1 species